AGUGAACGCUGGCGGCAUGCCUUACACAUGCAAGUCGAACGGUAACGCGGGGCAACCUGGCGACGAGUGGCGAACGGGUGAGUAAUAUAUCGGAACGUGCCCAGUAGUGGGGGAUAGCCCGGCGAAAGCCGGAUUAAUACCGCAUGAGACCUGAGGGUGAAAGCGGGGGAUCGCAAGACCUCGCGCUAUUGGAGCGGCCGAUAUCAGAUUAGCUAGUUGGUGGGGUAAAGGCCUACCAAGGCAACGAUCUGUAGUUGGUCUGAGAGGACGACCAGCCACACGGGGACUGAGACACGGCCCAGACUCCUACGGGAGGCAGCAGUGGGGAAUUUUGGACAAUGGGCGCAAGCCUGAUCCAGCAAUGCCGCGUGCAGGAAGAAGGCCUUCGGGUUGUAAACUGCUUUUGUCAGGGAAGAAAUCUUCUGGGUUAAUACCUCGGGAGGAUGACGGUACCUGAAGAAUAAGCACCGGCUAACUACGUGCCAGCAGCCGCAGUAAUAC
rnacentral:rRNA from 1 species